rnacentral:rRNA from 1 species
UGGCUCAGGAUGAACGCUGGCGGCGUGCCUAACACAUGCAAGUCGAACGGAGAUUAACGCUGAUGAGGCUUCGGCGGAAUCUUGUUAAAUCUUAGUGGCGGACGGGUGGGUAACGCGUGGGCAACCUGCCUCAUACUGGGGGAUAGCAGUUGGAAACGACUGAUAAUACCGCAUAAGCGCACGGUAUCGCAUGAUACAGUGUGAAAAACUCCGGUGGUAUGAGAUGGGCCCGCGUCAGAUUAGCUAGUUGGUAAGGUAACGGCUUACCAAGGCGACGAUCUGUAGCCGGACUGAGAGGUCGGACGGCCACAUUGGGACUGAGACACGGCCCAAACUCCUACGGGAGGCAGCAGUGGGGGAUAUUGCACAAUGGAGGAAACUCUGAUGCAGCGACGCCCGCGUGAGUGAAGAAGUAUUUCGGUAUGUAAAGCUCUAUCAGCAGGGAAGAAAGGCCCGCAAGGGAGAUGACGGUACCUGACUAAGAAGCCCCGGCUAACUACGUGCCAGCAGCCGC